CCUACGGGUGGCAGCAGUGGGGAAUAUUGGGCAAUGGGCGCAAGUCUGACCCAGCAACGCCGCGUGAAGGAAGAAGGCUUUCGGGUUGUAAACUUCUUUUCUCAGGGACGAAGCAAGUGACGGUACCUGAGGAAUAAGCCACGGCUAACUACGUGCCAGCAGCCGCGGAAAUACGUAGGUGGCAAGCGUUAUCCGGAUUUAUUGGGUUUAAAGGGUGCGCAGGCGGAGGUGCAAGUCAGUGGUCAAAUUGCGGGGCUCAACCCCGUACUGCCGUUGAAACUGCAUCCCUUGAGUGCGCGAGAAGUAUGCGGAAUGCGGGGUGUAGCGGUGAAAUGCAUAGAUAUCACGCAGAACUCCGAUUGCGAAGGCAGCAUACCGGCGCGCAACUGACGCUCAUGCACGAAAGCGUGGGUAUCGAACAGGAUUAGAUACCCUUGUAGUC
rnacentral:rRNA from 1 species